AAGCCGUGCACUUGGCAUUGAAGUCCCCCGC
rnacentral:sRNA from 1 species